rnacentral:rRNA from 1 species
CCGGCGAGGGGAGUGAAAAAGAACCUGAAACCGUGUACGUACAAGCAGUGGGAGCGCCCUUUGGGGUGUGACUGCGUACCUUUUGUAUAAUGGGUCAGCGACUUAUAUUCUGUAGCAAGGUUAACCGUAUAGGGGAGCCGGAGGGAAACCGAGUCUUAACCGGGCGUUAAGUUGCAGGGUAUAGACCCGAAACCCGGUGAUCUAGCCAUGGGCAGGUUGAAGGUUGGGUAACACUAACUGGAGGACCGAACCGAC